rnacentral:lncRNA from 1 species
UGGGCCUGCGGGAAUCAGGGCCGAACGGAGCCGCGAGAGCGUCCGGAGCUCAGAAAUCUCGCCCGCGACGACCCCGGGAGGGCGGCGAGGUCUAGUACUAAUAAAGAGAAGAAGAUCGGAGCAGCUUUGACAUGAAUGGAUCCAUCUGGCCUGGUCUCCAUACAAGUUUCCUAUGAGUUUGGUCACAGACCCUUCAAGCAAUUGUUUAAAUGAGAAGAUGCUACAUUUUCAAGCAGAGACUGAUUCACUGUAGCUUAAUAAAUUUUUACUGAGCCCA